GUUCCCUUCCUAUGGGUGACAGGGCAGGAGCUCUGCUUCAAAAGGACAAGCAGUGUGGGGAGCUACUGAAGCUUACAGAUGAAGGAGACCAAGGGGGAUGAUGUCGGCUAAUAAACCUGCGUAUGUAUGGUGACACGGGCACUACCACUCGUAAUGUCUGCUUGUCACACCUGUGGGACAGACUGCGGUUGUGGGACUGCGCUGGUGGAGCUGACAAGCUCAGAAGGAAGAGGCUCUGCAGAGCAGUGACACUGCCAGGAAGGUGACCUUCCUUACAGGCCUCCAGGAAGGAGGUGGGAGAGGGGACACUCUAAUGUGACAAUGCCCUGGCAGAGUGGGGUGUCUUCUAAACCCAGUGGAGGGCACCCAUUCCCUCCCUUGUGACCUGUCCUCCUGCAGUUCUGAAUGCCAGCACUGUCCUACCUGCUGGGAAUCCAGAGAACAGGGUUCCUGUCCUCAUGGGUCAGCAGCUAUGCCCGUGGGCACGCCUUACUGACCCUUAUUUUUUCUGGCACCGACUGUCUGGUGUCUUGGGGACAGUUAGGUGUGUGAUUGUGAAGACCAACCAGUCAGAGCCUGGAUCAGCAAUCCUCAGUGAUUAGUGCACCUUCCUUCCUAUUGCCUCAGGGUGGACAGGUAGGAGACCCAGCCAAUGGAUGAAGAGGUGGGGUGUCCCAGGAGACCACUGCGAAGAGAAAAGGAUGCAGAACAGCUGUGCCUGCUGCCAGGCUUGUGCCUCACCCCCACCCACAACCCCACCCCAGUGGCUGCCUGUGAGGAGAGCCAGUACAGAAGAAAGCAGAGAAGGCUGAACGGUGUCCUGAAGACACUGCGAGCCCCUGGAGCCAAUGCUGCCUGAAGCUCUCAGGAUCCUCUUGGACCUCGAGCUCAGCCACAUGCAUUCCAUUUUUGCGUGACAGCUGAGUUUCUGGCAGGUGGUGAUUCCAUAAAGUCCACGACCUUGCAAACAGUUUUCCUUCGCUUUUCGGAUGGAAGUUCAGAGAGGUUAAGUGGCUUGACCAAAGCUGCACAGCAGCCAUAUGCAAUCUUACCAGCACAAAGCCUACCCUCCUGCUACUAUUCCCAGGUGGCCCCCCUGCAGGACAGGUGAUGAACUGCAACUGAGAGAGGAAGGGAUUCUGUCCAGGACAGGUCUUCCUGAGAGGAUCCCACAAGAAAAUCACUGUCGAACCUGCUCCACCCUGAGGCAACAGGAAGGAAGGAAGUGUAUGUAGGUGGCACACUGGCAGCUGUUGCUAUCUCAACUUUUCUUUCUGCCGGCUUUAAAGAAACAGAAGAACCCUCAGGAAAGCCUGGGGAGUCUGCUCUCUACAGUCAGACAGGCUGGUCACAUUGCACAGGUGGCUCCACACAGUGGCGGUGUGCUGGACGCAAGUGGGAGCCCUGCUCAGAUGAGCCAGCCUCCCCAGCUCCGAAGGUAGGCAGCCAGGCAGCCAGCCUCUGCGUUUCCUGUGGUGGCCUCCGAGCUGGUGACCUGUGUGGCAGACUGAGGACCUGGGAUGCAUCCAGCUGCCAGCUCGACUUCCUCUGGACUGCUCCCUACCCUGAGCCCCGCAGACUCGGAGCUCAAGUGGAUGACAUCUUGUGCUCCCAGAGGUACAGGAGGCCGGAAAUGAGAGCACAGGCAGCCAGGUCCCUGCAAGGAGCAGCUCAAGUAGAAUCUGGGAAGGUUCCCGAAUGGGAAAUGAAUCAUGAAAACCACGAAGCAGACCUCCAGCAAGCAGACAUGCCUGGGUUCCAGUGAGCUGCCCAUUCUGCUGCCCUCAGAGUUCACAGGUGAGGGAGUGUCAGCUCCGAGAGGAUACUUGGGCAACUACAGGGACACGAUGAAGCAGGAUCUGAACCCAGACCCCUUGAUCUCCAGCCCUCAGGUGAGUGUGACAAGGGGACACUGGCAGCCCUCAUACCUACUAUGUGUUUUCCAGUCUCAGACCCAACAGCAAGCCCUCCAUGUUCUAUCCACUGGCAAGGUGGGGGGAGAUCCCUUACUAACCCAGGGAGUGGGGCUUACAAAAGGCCACAGAGCAAGUGUGAAUACCAUUGUAGAGAUCCUGCUAUUGGGCUAUUUGUGCAGAGUAAACAUGGCUGAGGGAAUGAAGGAUUCCCUGCAUACAGGGGCCUAUGUGGCUGUGUCACUCAUAGGACUGACCAGACCCAGUAGAGACCCUGGGUAUAGCUCUCAUCUAGGCAGCUGUUUCUAUUUGUGGGACCCAUGAGGAACACAGGAGCCACUGAAGGAGGGGUUCAUCUGAAGGCGAGUGAGUCAGCCUGUGCUAGAAGACUGGGAUGGAGCUAGCCAAGUUCACCUGUAAUUCCAGCACUUGGGAGGCUGAGGCAAGAGAAGCCCUGUGAAUCUGCAGCCAGUCUGGGCUACACGGUGAGGCUUUCCCAACUACACAUGGGAACUAACAACAGCGGCCAUCAUGGGUUAUUCUGAGGAGUAGUUGGCUCAUCACAAGGCACUGAACAUCAUCUAGCCAUAAUGGAUAUGGCCAAGCCACAGAGGUGCCACAUUUCUAGAAAUGGUGGCUCCUGGAAGAGCUGGGUCAGGAUUUCAGCCUGGGCAUUCCGAUUCCAGAGGCUGCUGAUCUUCUGGACACCCACCACCACCACCACCGCGCCUCCCUGCGGCUCCCACUAGAACAAGGACAGCAGAGGAGACUGAAGGAGAGGAGACACUGGGGUCAAGGAUGCAGAUUUUCCAUCCAGCUCAAAAGAAGUGAGCCUGGGAUAACUGGCGUCCAUGGGAGGUGUUUGGUCCUUCACCAACUCUUAACGGACACAUUUUAAAUAUUGGAUAAUACAUUUUUAAAGCACAGCAGGUUCCCAUAACCCAGCAAGAGCAACUCCAGAGAGGCCCAAGGAAGUUCUGGAAUAAAAUCAUAGCUAACC
ensembl:processed_transcript 4631405J19Rik RIKEN cDNA 4631405J19 gene